GCCGCCGAGAGGAAAGUCCGGGCAGCGCGAGCCACCAUGCUUCCUAACGGGAAGGCACCCCUCAUCGGGCUCUAUGGGGUUCCCCAGGGGUGACAGCAAGCGCCACAGAAAACAAACCGCCGAUUAUGCAGGGACAACUCCUUGCAUAAAGCAAGGGUGAAAACGCGGGGUAAGAGCCCACGACGUGUCCCGGUGACGGGCACGAUGGCAAGCCUCAUGGGCUGAAAGACCAAAUAAACCGACAACCUCGGGCCGGCUCGCCCGAUAGCCAAAAGGCUGUUGUCGGAGGGUAGGUCGAUAGAGACCGUCGGCGACGGCGGCCCCAGAUUGAUGAUAGAAGACCCGCAAGGGGUUACAGAACCCGGCUUACAGGCCC
rnacentral:RNase_P_RNA from 1 species